ensembl:lncRNA
AUGUUAGGUAAAGCUCCAUCAAACUGUAAAAGGUUCAGCACAUCCCUCUUGCUCCUCAAACGCUUCAAGAGAAAGAGCCAGUUGAAUUUCAGCGCGAAGUGGUUGGUGAGGAUGUGGCGAAGGAUUCUUCGAACCGCGUCACCAGGAUUGCAGCCCCCAAGCGCACUAAGGUGUGCUGCCUGCAGGUAAGAAUGGAAAGUAAUGUUUUAGAAUAUCUUAUUAUGGCUUAUAGUCAGCAUACCGUUCAAAAUGAACAUCUUUGGUAAUGCGAAAAGUUCAUUAAACACUAUUUUUAGGAGUGAACAACGCGUUUCGCCCAAUGCGUCUUCAGGUUCGAACCUGAAAACGCAUUGGGCGAAACGCGUUGUUCGCUCCUAAAAAUAAAGAGAAAAAAGAACAGUAUCCAGUGUGCGGUGUUUAAUGAACUUUUCAUAUUUGAUCACGUUUUCCUGCCUAACACCUGCACCUGGAAAGCUGAAGGGUUGUGCACAAGGACUUUCAUGCACUUUGAUCUUUGGUAAUGCAUUGUAGCAAAGAACUGAAAUAUAUCAGUAUUAUAGAAGUCAUGACUAUACCAGGGCCUUUUCCUGGGAUUUCUCCCUCAGAAGAUCCUCGACCCUUUGAAGGUCUUCCUCGCAGUUCAUUGGGAACUUAAAUUCCUCAGAUAGAGUGUCUGCUGCUGCUGCUGCUGUAGUUUUUUGCCUAGUAAGGGCCUGGAGGAGGAGGUUGUUCUGCCUCACCAAGGCCUUCAACUCCUCCACAGCACGCAGGAGUGCAUGAUCCCGUUCUACAGGACAGAAAAACAUCAUGACUGUCAUGUCAAGACCCUUUGCUAAAAUUAACAGACUUAAGUUUAAACAGAUUUUCAGUAUUGCUGUGUAAGGCCAGAUGUUUGUGUACCGAAUUGACUUUGAAUGUUGCCAGAGAUCUGGACAGAGGCCUGUUCAAAAGCAGCUGAUGUGUGGGCAGCAACUGUAGGCAAGAAGAUGUAUAUUUAUAAUCAGAGUAGUCAGUGUAUUGAAGUUCAUUACAUUCAAAUUUCCCAGAUUCGAGACAUUCAAAAAAGAUAGUGAGUAGAAUAGCAGAAUUCAGAUUUGGAAUGAUGUGUUAUACCUUUAUGUAUGUCCUGCUGUGAUGAUCUAAAAGCAGGUGGGGAAAGCAGGGGCUUGUGGAGGACUCCUUUUUUUCUUUUUUCUUAGCCCUAUACAUUGGAACAGUACAAGAGUAUGAACAACAACAGUUUUGUAAGACUGCAAACUUGCCAAUCACAAAAUGUCUUUAUGUGAGUGAUAAUGCAUGGCCAUCUGUAAUCAGACCUUGUAUGCUUCUCCCCCUCAUCUGCAGGCACAGUUUCUUUCAGCUUUGAGGAAGGGCUGCAUUAGAAAAGAAAUCACUCAAUAAGCAUGCAUUGUUUUGUGUAGCUGAAGGUUUUCAUAGUAUAGAUUACUGCACAGUGCUUACAUUCUCCUUCUUUUACCCCCUUCAUCAUCUGAUGUCAGGGUGCUCCUGGUUUGGGCUUUUUUCAGGUUCAUACGCGCUGCAUCAUAAUUGGCUGUUGAAGACAACAAUGAAGUGAGUAAAGCUUUUAAAGCCUAAGGGGAGAAAAGUGGUACAUCCUACUUUUGUCUGUCUCACCAAAGGUUUUCACCACCUCCACAAAAAACUCUUACCAGGUCUCAUCUGGCAUAGCGCUUUGGAUGACUGCAACUUUCGUCCGCUUGGUGUCUUUAUACGGUGGCCAAAAAGACACCUUGCCAUCCAAACUUAGCCACGAGCAA